rnacentral:rRNA from 1 species
GAUGAACGCUAGCUACAGGCUUAACACAUGCAAGUCGAGGGGCAGCAUGGUCUUAGCUUGCUAAGGCCGAUGGCGACCGGCGCACGGGUGAGUAACACGUAUCCAGCCUGCCGUCUACUCUUGGACAGCCUUCUGAAAGGAAGAUUAAUACAAGAUGGCAUCAUGAGUCCGCAUGUUCACAUGAUUAAAGGUAUUCCGGUAGACGAUGGGGAUGCGUUCCAUUAGAUAGUAGGCGGGGUAACGGCCCACCUAGUCUUCGAUGGAUAGGGGUUCUGAGAGGAAGGUCCCCCACAUUGGAACUGAGACACGGUCCAAACUCCUACGGGAGGCAGCAGUGAGGAAUAUUGGUCAAUGGGCGAGAGCCUGAACCAGCCAAGUAGCGUGAAGGAUGACUGCCCUAUGGGUUGUAAACUUCUUUUAUAAAGGAAUAAAGUCGGGUAUGGAUACCCGUUUGCAUGUACUUUAUGAAUAAGGAUCGGCUAACUCCGUG